GAUGAACGCUGGCGGCGUGCCUAAUACAUGCAAGUCGAGCGCCCCUUUAAGAGGUGACAAUCGAUUGAUUGUCGGUUCCUAUGGGGAGCGGCGGACGGCUGAGUAACGCGUGGGAACGUGCCCCAAAGUGAGGGAUAAGCACCGGAAACGGUGUCUAAUACCGCAUAUGAUCUUCGGAUUAAAGCUUUAUGCGCUUUGGGAGCGGCCUGCGUCCUAUUAGAUAGUUGGUAAGGUAAUGGCUUACCAAGUCAACGAUGGGUAGCUGGUCUGAGAGGAUGACCAGCCAGACUGGAACUGAGACACGGUCCAGACUCCUACGGGAGGCAGCAGUGGGGAAUUUUGGACAAUGGGGGCAACCCUGAUCCAGCAAUGCCGCGUGAGUGAAGAAGGCCUUCGGGUUGCAAAGCUCUUUUGUCAGGGAAGAAACGGUUGUGGCUAAUAUCCAUGGCUAAUGACGGUACCUGAAGAAUAAGCACCGGCUAACUGCGUGCCAGCCGCCGCGGUAAUAC
rnacentral:rRNA from 1 species